UCUCCUUGUACAUUAAACUCAAUAAGAACGAAAAAAAUCCUACAAUCCAGAAUGUUAUCGCCUCUUCAACCUCCUAAUUAGACCUCAUGAUACAGAAACACUUACUAAUACAAUGGGAUAAGUCUAGAAUUGAGAUUCCAUAAUAUACGAAGUUGUUGGAUCCAACAUAUGAUGGGCAUGAAAAACUUGGCCCUACAGCAUCUGCACCAUAGGCGCAUUCCUAGAUUCAAAUUCAUACCAUCAUUUUUCGCCGUCAUGAUCCUCAGCCAAAAAAUGGACAAACUCAUCUAGAAUGAAAAGACGAACCUCAAUAGCAGACAUUGGUCAGUACAAGAAAACAUUGCCGCCAACGCUGGGAUGUAGAGGCUCUGCCACAUACCAUUGUAAGUAAGUUCCUCGAGGUGACCAUUCCUUCGUUGCAACCUUGAUACAUGUUGUCCCCGAGGACCGAGAAACGAAUCGCGUUUUACUUGCCGUUGAAACCUCUCCUCCAAUAGUCUCGCCUCCUCGCAGGAAGGAAGAUUCAUUGUGGAGGAGUCUUCUCCCCGACCCGAGCCAUGCGCCUCCACCGUCGAAGAGUCGCCGAAGAUAUGUACAAGGGAAAUCAGAUAUGGGUCGCCUCUAGCUCUAAAAACCGACCUUCUCCCCUCUUUUCACGUAAGAGUCUCGCCGCUAUUCUAGAAGAUGCUGGUAAGAGUCACUGACAAACUCAAGACGAAUUGCCGGUAGAAGUCAGCAAACCCAGAAUCAUCGAGCAAUGAGACUAAGGGAGAGACAAAGUGGAAGAGAGCAAAAAUAAAAUGAGGAAAAGGGGGAAUAAGAAUACAAACAAGGAGAAUCUAUUAAUAUUAUUGUUUUCACAUAAUAUAUGACCAAAUAUUUGCAAAUAUCAUAUUGUAGAGGAUCUAAUAAUAUGUUGAAAUUAUUAUAUUGUCUAUAAAAUAAUUGGUGUCAUAUGGUUACUUUUGAAAUUAUCAUUUUUAAAAACCAAAUUAGUAUAUAAAUUCAAGAUAGAUAAAAAAGUAUUGUAAAUUUACAUAUACCAUAGAUUUUUUUCUAAUGAUACUAUUGAUAUAAAAAAAAUUGUCAACCUUCUGAUUUCAUUAAAAGGCUUUGUAAGCAAUUUUUAGGUAUAAACGGAUUGAACCUGGCCCAAUAUUAUUUUACAAGCCCAAAUCGAAUCCCAAGCUAAAAGAUAACAACAACGUAUAACCUAACACAUGUAUAUGAAGUGUUUGCUUGAUCCUUAAACGUGGAAAUCAUGGGGCAAAGGUGGAUGGAUCGUGGCUUCAAUCACCACUGACACGAGCUCCACCGUAUCAAAAGUUUUGGAAACACUGUUGUUUGAAACUUCAUCUUCUCCACCACCGUACUGCAUCAUCCUUGGUUUGUACUCCAUGAACUCCAUCUUUCACUCAAUCCUUUGCUUGUGCUUGAAAACCUCAGACUCCAACGGAUGAUAAUCCGGGGAAAGCUUGGAUGACCUACGGGAGAUUUUUUCCGGACCAUCUUCAGGAAGAUGCCGACUCAUCUAAAUCUCCAUAAUAAUCAGCCAAGAUCAAAUCCAAUACCACAGCUUCCUUUCCUUAAAGAUACUCUACUAAAAGCCUAUCAUUGGCUUCACAAAGGAGAGUAGAAAUUGACUCCCAUUAGAAAGGAUUAAGUGAACAUCCAUGAAGAAAGAGAAACUCAUCACAAAACAAAAGAAAUUUGAAAUUACUGUGAAAGAAAGGAGAUUAAAUUUAUUUGAAUUCAAAACAAAUUAGGGAAAUAUAGAACUUGAAGAACAACACCUUAUUGAGUUAUUUGUUUUGAAGAUACUCAACAAAUCGCCCAAAGCGAAACUAAUUCCUCAACAGGAAAAGAAAAAUCGUCAAAACGAAGCAAAAAUUCAAUAUUUCGACUCAAAGUUAUUUUACAUAAGAAAACAGGGAAAAUCUCAUCUUUCUUCUGAAGAAUAUGAGUCUGAUAAGAGGGACAAGAAGAGAGAAUCCCCCUCUCUCUAGAGAGGAGAGAUAGCCCGAAUUUACUUUUUUUGAUAUGAAUAAUCCGCAUAUGAAUGAAACAUCUGAUCGGGGGCACAAAAAAACUAAUUCAUCUGUAAUACCACUAAAAUAACCACGAGAGAAUGAUCCGCGCACCCGCGCAUGCAUUAGUUCUUACAUUUUUAUACAUUGAUAUUUGUUUUUCAUAAUUAGUGUUAUAUAUUUUAGAUGUGUCGUAAUAUAACCAAUUAUAUUCAACAGACCUGGACCAAAUCGUGUAAUAAUGUUAUAUUUGGUUAUUUAGAUAUUUUCAGGUUCCUAUACAUCAUAACCAAACUCAUCCAGAUCUAGAAGGACCCAACUCAAAACCCACACAUAAAUAUAAAAUAUUCAAACGGAGCCUAAUUAAAAAAAAUGAUUCCCGAAAGGAAUAACCAGUACCUAAAUGGAUAGCUAAUUUGCAUGUCUAACUGAUUUUAUAAAAUAAUAAAUAAGAUUUUUCUAUGUGUUUGACUAAAUUAAGUGAAAUAGAAAGAGUUUUUAAUUUAGUAAAAUACUUAUAUGGAGUGAAAAAUUAAGUGACAAUAAAUGUAAUACAUUUUUAUUAUUUUGAUUUAAGUUAUUAUUUUAUUAACAAAAACAUGUCUUUGAAUUAUGUUUUUCGCUACGUAAUUUUCCACUAUAAAAAAUUAUUAAUUAAAAAAAAAGUUUUAGUAAAACAUACUAAACUGAACGUUUAACCAUAUGCAAAAUCCAAUCAUUUUACAUUUUUAUUGUAUAAUUGACACAAAGUUAAUUUUGAAAACUAAUAAAUAAAAAUCUGAACUAUUAUUAUUAAGAUAGUAUAAUUAAAGAUGUGAUGUAUUGUUAAUGUAAAUAUAAUUAAUGAAAUUGAUAAACUGAGUGAAAUAUGGAAAGAAAAUUAAUCUAAUUAUAUUAAUGAAAUUAUUAAAAUAACACUAUAUCUUUUUAUAAUGAUAUCAAUUUUUUUACAACAUUUCCAUAUAUAUUGUUAUCCAUGUUUCUGAACAAUUCUAAAAAGUAUUUCAGUUUUAAUAAUAUAGAUAUUCAUCCAACAUAUUGUUUACGUGUUUAUAUAGUUACUAGGUGGAUGCCCACCAUUUUACGGAUUUGAAUGUUUUGUAACAAUAUAUUUAUUAUAGUUUGUCAAAUUAAGAUAUUUUUUCAUCAUAAAAAAUUGUAUAUGUGUUUACUGUUAAAUAUUUUUAAAGAAUAAUUAUUUUUGAAAAAGAUGAUUAUGACUAUUUUAAAUAUCUGUUGAUAUUUUUUAUUGAAAUUUAUUACUAAAAUUAGUUAUAUAUAAUAUUUAUAAUUCAGUUUUUAAUAAAAAUGAGUUUUGAAGGUAUGUAGUUUUGAAACAUUUGAUUUUUAAAUAAUUUAUAGCUAAAGUCAUAUGUCUUUAUUAAUAUUAACAGAUAAAACAAUAUGAUUGUUACACAUUCUCUAUAUAUUCAUAUUGAAAUACAUAGGAAUAUAAAACUACUAUAUCAAUUAUAUAAAUUACUUUUGAAAUGUAUUAUAUAGUUUAUAAAUACUUGAGUAGUAAAAUUAUUUUAUGAGCAUUACAUAUAUUUUAUAUAAAUCACAUAUUUAAUUACCAUAAAUUAUAUUAUGAAAUAUAUUUAUAUAGUUUGGAUACUGAUAAAAGUUGGUUCUAGAAGUGAUUUUUUUACUCAUAAAAUAAAUAAAAUAGAAAAUCUAUUAACGAAUCAAAUUAUAAUAGUUUUUAUAAAACUCAAAGACACCUAAGAAAAAAAAUAAUUAAGUGAGUUCUCAUUUAAUAUAAAAUAAAUUUUCAAAAUACAUUUUAUAAAUUAAUAUAUAAGCUUCUAUAAAUGACUUAGAACCUCUUAUAAUAAUUUAAAACAUCUGAUAAGCCAAUAUAAAUAAUUUUAUAAAUUUAUUUAUAAUUUAAUAAAUGAUUUGUAAAGCAUGAAUGGAAUGUAUUAGACAUUAAUAGUUAUUAUGAUACUUUAUAUACAAAUAUAAGGCUUUAUAUACGAAUAUAAAAUCAUUAUAUCAAUUCAAAUAAACAUUAUUGUUUCUUAUUUUAUGUAAUUUAUAAAUAUAUAAAAAAUUAAUCACAUUAUUACUCUUUCAUAGUUUCAACAAUUAGUUACCAUAUAUAAUUAUUUCUAAAAUUAUGUAGAUUAUUUGGAAAGUGGUAAUUGAAUUUUCCUUUCCUUUUAGAUAUAAUUAUAAUAAAUAAAAUUAAAAAUCAUCGACCAAUCAAAUUAUAACAAUUUGAAUAGUUCAUUUAUGAUCGACACGUAAUUAAUCACUUAUGUAAUUUCUCAAUCAAUAUAUAGUAGGUUUAUAUUUU